rnacentral:tRNA from 1 species
GCCGCCAUGGUGAAAUUGGUAGACACGUUGCUCUUAGGAAACGAUGCUACAGCAUCUCGGUUCAAAUCUGAGUGACAACA